rnacentral:rRNA from 1 species
GACGAACGCUGGCGGUGUGCUUAACACAUGCAAGUCGAACGGCAAGGCAAUGCAUCUGUGGGGUGCUCGAGUGGCGAACGGGUGAGUAACACGUGCGUAACCUGCCCUUGCCAUUGGGAUAACUACAGGAAACUGGGGCUAAUAACGGCUAGGAGUUCCUGCUGCAUGGUGGGGGUUGGAAAGUUUCGGCGGUUGGGGAUGGACUGGCGGCUUAUCCGUUUGUUGGUGGGGUAGUGGCUUACCAAGGCUUUGAAGGGUAGCCGGCCUGAGAGGGUGACCGGCCACAUGGGGACUGAGAUACGGCCCAGACUCCUACGGGAGGCAGCAGUGGGGAAUAGAGCACGAUGGGCGGAAGCCUGAUGCAGCAACGCCGCGUUCUGGAUGACGGCCUUCUGUUUGUAAGCCGCUUUCGCCGUUGACGAAGCGUGAGUGACGGUAAUGGGUAAAGAAGCACCGGCUAACUACGUG